UGUUUAUCAGUGAAGGGAAGUAGUAAAAGUCCCCUUUUUUUUAAGAGAGUCGAUGGUAGGUGGAAAUCGAUAAAAAGGAGCUUUGAAUCCGUCCUGGAGAUUUUAACUCUAAAAGUUAAAGGGAAAGACCCCUUACAGUCUUUUGAGUGAAUUGACUCUGUCAAUUAAUCAGGGUGGCAACGCGGGAGAACGACUCUCGUCCCUUUA
rnacentral:ncRNA from 1 species